CCUUGUGUUUGACUCUGUAACUUUGUUCAUAAUGCCUCUUUAUUUCUUGAAUAUUCCUUUCUCCCCUUGUUUCUUUUCUGAUUGAAUUCUCUCAGAUUCUUUAGUUCCUGAGGCAGAUGCCACUUGCCAGGGAGAGUUCACAGUCACAUUAAACACUGUCCCCAAGCGUGCUUCGUUGAUUCUCCUUGUGAGCCAUGGCCCUGUUGGUUGUAGUCAGAGCCACACAUUAAAAAGAUCACCCGACUAGCAGACCCCAAUCUGCUAAUUAUUAGCUUUGUAACAGUAAGCAAGCCACUUAUACUCUCCAAAAGGUAAGCAAGUUUUAUCAUCUGGAAAAUGAAGGUAAUAGUUUCCCAGGCCUGCCUCGCAGGGUCUCAUAUCUGCUAGGAAAGAAUGAAGAAGCACUUAUGAGACCUUUUUCUUUGCUCUGCACUGUAUUAUGACGGCAAUGUGGAUCUUCAUUUCCUUAUCAGCUGCAAAAGCAUGAGGCUUAUUGAUUGAUUGAUCCAUGCCCCCCGCGUGGGGUAGUGGCUAUCAAGGGAGGCAGCAGCAACAACCCUGAACCAAGAAAGCACACACUAUUUAUACUUUACAGAGGGCGGUCUCCAGUAACAGGGCUAGUUGGGGACUGUGAUUGGUGGAAUACGAGACAAAGGAUCUCUUCAGGCAUAGGUUAGUUCGCUCAAGGGGGCGUUGUUGGCCAAGUCAGUCAACUUCCCUCUAGUCGCUCUGCACAUGGCCUUGGAAAGUCCUUGAGAGUGCCAGGCUGGACCACAAAAGGAAGAGCCUAGGAAGACAAAAGAAAGAAACAAAUAAACACUCCUUACAAUAAUGGCUACACACAAUGGAAAGCACAGCCAACCUUCCCAAGCAAGAUGUAUGAAUUUUUUUCUUCUUUUUUGCCUCUGACCUAAAUGGAUGGGAUUUCCUCAGUAUCCUCAGUUUCAGACAAUUCACUGUCUUCUGGCAUCUAGGUAAUUGAAAUCAUGAAGAAUGAUGACAAGAAUCUUCUCUCUGUGGAGCAAUGGUGGGAAAGACUUGUCUGCUCUUCCAGAGAACCUGGAUUCAAUUCCCAGUACUACAUGACAGCUGACAACAAUGUAUAAUUCCAGUUCCAGGGGAUCCAACAUUCUCUUCUUUCAUGGAAAGCAUAUGUGGUGUUCAUACAUACAUGAAGAUAAAAUACCUACAUACAUAAAAUUUAAAAAUGCAAUCUUAAAAAUUGUAUGAAAGAAUGAAUACAUGAAGUGAAGAGGCAAAGCUUGUGGAGGGGAUAAGGAAGGAUUUGGAGGUGAGGAAACAUGUAAUCAAUUUAAUCAAUACAUUGUAUGUAUGAAAUUCUCAAAAACAAACGUUUCAUAAAAAUGAAAUGAAGUUUGAAAUUUUCCAUAGUAGCCAUGUUAGUUUCAAUAAUUAUUUGACCAUUUAAUUUCCCCUUUCUUGUCAUAAUGUCUGACAGACACCAAGGAAGGUGGUAAACAUUUAACCACCAGCUCUCUGUGCACUGUCAUUUAGAGAGUUCCCAUUUUUAUGGUGUGAAUGUUCUUAUCAUAUUCACUUUCAAAUUCCUCAUCACUGAAUGUGGCACUAAGCAAAGAUAGGCAGUAGUGCCAUCUACCAGCUACCUUGCUCUGCUAUAGGUGACAAAAUUCCUUAUGUGCAGUUAAGGGAGAGAAGUGGUAAGGUAAUUUAAAUAGCACUGCCUUUGUGUCAGCACUACUUCCUUGACUAUGACUUUGUGACUGUGGCUCUGUCUAAUUCUUGACAAAUUCACAGUGGGUUCUGUGUGAGGUGAGAUUGUCUCCAGAGCAUAAAUACCAUUUGCCUAUGGGUUUUCUUAUUUAGUCUCAGCACCCUUUCCAUUUUCUUUACUUUCAGUUCUACGGAAGUAAGCUUCACCUUUCUGAGUUUUUACUUCUCACAUAUACUAAGAACCACAGCGAAGACCCGCCUUUUCCAAAGGCAUCCUGAUUGAUUCCAAUGUUCACCCAUGUUCCUAUUAUUCCUCCAGGCUGAGGGAAACUUAGCCAGAAGCUUUGGACUCUCUCAAUCUUGGAAUUGUGUUCAAAGGACUCAUUUGAGUUCUUUAUUUUUGUCAUAAUACAUGCUAGCUAUGAUCAAAGAAGAGAAAAUGUCACACAUUUUACUCCCUCUAUCAUUCCACAAACUUAGAAAAAGGUGACCAGAAGAAAUUAACUUCAGUAUCUCAGCUACCAUCGAAAUACUUCCACUCAAUGGAAGACCUGAACAAAAUAUGGUUGGAUCACCUAAGCUGCUGCCAAAAAUGUAAACCAAGUGUCUCAAAGUAGUUAAGUUUUCUCAACUUCCUCUAGGUAUCUGAAGUUUGUAAGCAAUA